GUGUCAGCAGCCGCGGUAAUACAGAGGGUGCAAGCGUUAAUCGGAAUUACUGGGCGUAAAGCGUGCGUAGACGGUUAUCUAAGUCGGGUGUGAAAGCCCCGGGCUCAACCUGGGAAUUGCAUUCGAGACUGAAUAGCUAGGGUUCGGAAGAGGGAAGCGGAAUUUCCGGUGUAGCGGUGAAAUGCGUAGAUAUCGGAAGGAACACCAGUGGCGAAAGCGGCUUCCUGGUCCAGAACCGACGUUCAGGCACGAAAGCGUGGGGAGCAAACAGGAUUAGAAACCCGCGUAGUCC
rnacentral:rRNA from 1 species